UCACACACUCACCUGCCGGUUUUCUAAUCACAGAAUUACUGGAGCGUCAAGAAGCGCCUGCAUGCUUGGAAGGGCUUCCAGGCAGAUGAACACACCUCAGCACCGGGUGGCAGUUUCCCAGGGUGCAACCCGGACCGGCUCUGGGUCACACUGACAAGCCUCUCCGACUCCCCAGGCUGGGUUGGGUGCUCCUCCCUCUCAUCCCACAGCGCUAUGUCUCAUGUCUUCUGGAAAACUUGCCAAUCCCUAGUGAUAACAAGGAUUAACAAUUUCCAGAGACAGCCCGUACAUAGAGGGAAAGUUUACUGAAAAAAAUGAAGAGGGGUCAGGGCAAGGCGAGGAGCAAGAAGCAUCCCCAAGGAAACAGAGAAGACCAGUACAACUGUACCUCUUUGCCAGCUGCACCAUCCGUACCAGGUGGCACGUUCUAGAGGCCAUAGCCUCUGUUCUGGUCAUCUCCAGUCUCCUGGGGUGGGAGUGUACAGCUCAGAGACUGCCACACUGCAAGACGAAGGGGCUGGAUGGACGGAAGUAAGAGGCGGAACCCUGCACACCCUCGGCCUCAGCCCCACUGAGUCUCCAAUGGGGCCACGCUUCUGAGUGCACCUCCCCCUGUCAUCUGUAAUGUGAGGGGGAACCAGGCUUGAUAUGGCAUUCCCAAUCCAGGGC
rnacentral:antisense_RNA from 1 species